CAGAUAAAACGGAUUUUAAUUUAUAUUUCAUUAGUAAAACAAAGUAAUAGUCUGUCGAAAGACUGUUACUCAUUGCAAUAAAGUUGUAAUUCUACUAACGUGUACAAAUGGCUCUGUUCCGUAAUUUUAUUAUCUUCAGCUGUAUGUGUGCAGCUGGUUAUGAAAAGUUGAGAACCGUUUGGUGUUGAUUUAAUUUACGGGAUCAACUCUAUUUUAGGAUUCAAAUUCAUUCAUGCCCUUGUUAACUACAUUUAAUAAAGAUCAAUGUGGCAAGAAAACUUAAGUGCUUUUAAUUUAUUGUAAAACCAAUAAAUCUUCAAUUAGAAUGAACACACGACCGGCACUUCACACGGUGAAAGACAACCUUGGCAUUCAUCAGCAGAUAACAUGCAUCAGCAGAUAACCCUUACUCUUCAGAUUAUUUGAUAAUCAUGAGAAAUGGAAGAUGUUCUUCCCAGUGACCUUCAUCAUGUCCAUCCUGUGGAUCGCAGUAUUCUCCUACCUCAUGGUUUGGUGGACUGAGACACUCGGCCGAACUCUUGGCUUGGGAGAGAAACCAGAGGUUUAUACAACCCCCGGAAGUACAGACAACAAAGCAGACAUAAUCUGGAAUAUCGAUAACCUCUAAAGCUCUAAG